rnacentral:rRNA from 1 species
AUUGAACGCUGGCGGCAGGCCUAACACAUGCAAGUCGAGCGGACGAAGGGAGCUUGCUCCUGGAUGCAGCGGCGGACGGGUGAGUAAUGCCUAGGAAUCUGCCUGGUAGUGGGGGAUAACGUCAGGAAACGGGCGCUAAUACCGCAUACGUCGUGAGGGAGAAAGUGGGGGAUCUUCGGACCUAACGCUACCAGAUGAGCCUAGGUCGGAUUAGCUAGUUGGUAGGGUAAAGGCCUACCAAGGCGACGAUCCGUAACUGGUCUGAGAGGAUGAUCAGUCACACUGGAACUGAGACACGGUCCAGACCCCUACGGGAGGCAGCAGUGGGGAAUAUUGCGCAAUGGGCGAAAGCCUGAUGCAGCCAUGCCGCGUGUGUGAAGAAGGUCUUCGGAUUGUAAAGCACUUUAAGUUGGGAGGAAGGGCAGUAAGUGAAUACCUUGCUGUUUUGACGUUACCAACAGAGUAAGCACCGGCUAACUUCGUG